GGGGCCGCUGUAGCGCUGCCGUCCCCCCACCCCCGGCGCCUCGCAGCCCUUCCCCGGGGCUGCCGGGCUCCUCAGGGACCCGCCGCCGCCGCCACCACCGCCUGCCUCGGCGCCGUUCCAGGAGAGUAAUAAAGAAAAAUUCCUUGCGCAGAAAAUGACCUUACUGCCACCUAUAGAGCUGCACUGCUGAAGGAUUCAUCCCUUGAAUGAGCAGUGGUUAAAUGGAAGCCACUCCUGGGAUCUGGAUGGUUUUUGCUGACCCAGACUUCGCAUAGCAGUUCCCGCGCAUCAGGAGGUUGCAAUGAGUGGAGGAGGGGAGCAGCCUGACAUCCUCAGUGUGGGAAUCUUGGUCAAAGAAAGAUGGAAGGUGUUAAGGAAAAUAGGAGGUGGAGGAUUCGGAGAAAUUUACGAUGCGCUGGACUUGCUUACUCGGGAAAAUGUUGCGUUGAAGGUCGAGUCAGCUCAACAGCCAAAGCAAGUACUGAAAAUGGAAGUAGCUGUGUUGAAGAAAUUGCAAGGAAAAGAUCAUGUCUGUAGAUUCAUUGGAUGUGGAAGGAAUGACCGAUUUAACUAUGUGGUCAUGCAGUUGCAGGGUCGGAAUUUGGCAGACCUGCGUCGGAGCCAGUCUCGAGGAACAUUCACGAUUAGUACUACUCUGCGGCUUGGGAAGCAGAUUUUGGAAUCUAUUGAAAGUAUUCACUCUGUGGGAUUCCUGCACAGGGACAUAAAGCCGUCUAACUUCGCUAUGGGACGUUUUCCUAGCACCUGUAGGAAGUGUUAUAUGCUGGAUUUUGGCUUGGCACGGCAAUUUACCAACUCAUGUGGGGAUGUCAGACCACCACGAGCUGUCGCUGGUUUUCGAGGAACAGUACGAUAUGCAUCAAUCAAUGCUCAUAGAAACAGAGAAAUGGGCCGGCAUGAUGACCUCUGGUCCCUGUUUUACAUGUUGGUGGAGUUUGUGGUUGGGCAACUGCCUUGGCGAAAAAUAAAAGAUAAGGAGCAAGUGGGCUCCAUUAAAGAGAGGUAUGAGCACAGACUUAUGUUGAAACAUCUUCCUCAAGAAUUCAACGUCUUUCUGGACCACAUUUCUAAUUUAGAUUACUUUACAAAACCUGAUUACCAGCUUCUCAUGUCUGUGUUUGACAACAGCAUGAAAACAUUUGGGGUUAUUGAAAGUGACCCUUUUGACUGGGAGAAGAGUGGAACUGAUGGCUCUCUGACAACAACAACAACUUCAACCACACCUCAGUUACACACUCGUCUUACUCCAGCUGCAAUUGGAAUUGCCAAUGCCACUCCUAUCCCAGGAGACUUGCUGCGGGAAAACACAGAUGAAGUGUUCCCUGAUGAACAGCUUAGUGAUGGAGAGAAUGGUAUUCCGGUUGGUGCCUCACCAGAGAAAAUACCAGGGUCCCCUGGCCAUCAACGUCCUCAGGAAAAAGAUGUUUGGGAAGAAAUGGAUGCAAACAGAAACAAAAUAAAACUGGGGAUUUGUAAGGCUGCCACAGAGGAAGAAAACAGCCAUGGACCAGUGAAUGGAAUGCUUAAUGCGCCAAGUCUCGGUUCUCCAAUUCGUGUCCGCUCAGAGACUACCCAGCUAGACAGAGAUGUCCCAUUAGUUCGAAAGUUACGUUCAAUUCACAGCUUUGAACUGGAGAAGCGUCUGAUGUUGGAGUCAAAGCCAGACACUGAUAAAUUUCUUGAGACCUGUUUGGAGAAGAUGCAGAAAGGCUUGAAUGCUGCGGCAGAGACUGCGGUUGCUGCUGUUCCUCCUCUUUCUCAGAAAACACCCAACCCUGCUCCUGUGACUGCACGCAUGGACCAUGUUUGGCACUAUGAUGAAGAAUAUCUUCCAGAUGCUUCAAAGCCUGUGUCAGCUAGUUCUCCAGAACAGGCUGAUGGUGUUGUUAGCAGUGGAUUUGUAGCUGUCAACUUAAGCUCCUGCAGGCAGGAGGUUGAUUCUAAAGAGUGGGUGAUAAUAGAUAAGGAACGGGACUUACAGGAUUUCAGGACAAAUGAAGCUUUAGGGCACAAAACAACUGGAAGUCCCUCAGAUGAAGAGCCAGAGGUACUACAAGUUCUAGAGGAUUCUCCUCCUGAAGAGCAGCCCAGACAGGGUGGUUGGGCAGGAAACAGUGUCCAUGCCAAGAACCAAACCUCAGGGGUGGAGUUUGUUCUAGCCAUGGAGUGUCAUCCUGCCGCUUCCGAACAGCUUACAGAUAAAUUGGAACUUCUGACCGGAGCUGCUGGACAGCUUCUUGCAGCCACCCCUACAAGUCCUAUGGAAGCUCAAGCAGAAGGAGCGCUCACUCCGCUCAACUCAUCUCACAUGCUGCAUUUCUCCACUCCAAGAAUUUCAAGUCCCAUCCUCCGCACCAUGAGCCCUAUAGCCUAUCUAUCCAUCCACUCGGACCCUCUGAAAGAGGCUGGUUUACCAAGGAGUCAAUCAGCUGAGAGCCACUCCUCUUCCUCACGCUCAACUGGUCGUAGGCAGCUUCCUGUCAUUCCCUGUGGCAACAAGUUUCCCCCUGUCAUUCGCAUCUCAAAAGCACAACUUCAGCAGGUAACAAUACCCAGGCCCUCGGUGGCAUCCACACAGUCUGCUUCAGAGAGUUUUCAGUAUGGCCACCAGCUAGGGAAAAGAGAGCAUGAUGUGCAAUCUAUGGAACACACAGUGGAACUCCCGUCUCCAAAGGAAGGCUUGCCAGGUUUGGUUGUGACAGAUGAUGUACUUCCAGGUAGUACCAGCACACCAGAUUUGGUACUUCAUAUCAGCCAAGAAGAGCUUGAAAGGGAAGGACAUGUCAAAGAAUAUGUCAGUGUCCCGGACAGUGGCCAAAAGGACCUACCUGAACAACAUAGCAGGAGACAGGAAGAGAAAGAACUUGAAAAUCUUCCUGUAGAGACUGAGGAAGAACAGCUUCCAGUAGUUUCUGAGGAUGUCAUUGAAAUGCAAAGCAAAGAACAGAAUUCUUUGCCGGGAAAUUCAAAAUCUGCAGAGGAAGAACUUCUUACUAAUACUGAAGCUGCUGAAGAAUCAAAGCCAAGGCCUGUCUGCUUGGUGCCAAAUCACGAUGAAGUUCUGAAGUCAAUAACACCUGAAACACCAGAUUUUUCACCCUCAAGACUUAUCAACUCACACAGUAAUAGACAGGCAAGCAAAAUAGCACCAGUUCAGGAAAAUGGUUUUCGUUCUAAUAAGGAAGAAGUCCAUAUCCAAGACUUGCAAUGCCACCAAGUGGCCCUUACUACUUUUUUGCACCAGGAGGACAAGAAGGAGAAAAAUACUCCCAGAAAUGGAGAGUUAUUCCACUGCAUUUCAGCGAAUGAGAAUUCUCAUCGAUCUAAGAAGGACUUGGUUAAAUCUCCUUUUGUAUUCAGGCAGAGCCGAAUCCCAGUUUUAGCACAAGAGAUAGACUCAACGUCAGAUUCCUCUUCUCCUGUUUCAGCAAAGGAAAAGCUUCUGCUAAAAAAGGCCCAUCAGACAGACUUGGUCAGACUACUUGUGGAAAAGAGACAGCUCAAAUCUUUCCUUGGUGACCUCUCAAGUGCCUCUGAUAAGUCACUGGAGGAAAAAAUGGUUGCUACUCCAGUACCAUUUUCUGAGGAUGAUGUAUUAUCCUCAUUUUCUAAAUUGACACUGGACUCUCAUUUCAGCAAGCAGACGGAAGAUAGUUCUUUGUCUCCAAGUAGCCCUCAGUCCAGAAAAAGCAAGAUACCCAGACCAGUGUCCUGGACUACCACUGAUCAAGUCACCAGUUCAAGCUCAGCUCAGUUCUUUCCUCGGCCACCACCAGGAAAACCGCCUACUAGGCCUGGGGUAGAAGCUAGGUUACGCAGAUACAGAGUCCUAGGGAGUAGCAGCUCGGACUCAGAUCUUAUCUCUCGUCUGGCUCAAAUCCUACAGAAUGGAUCUCAAAGACCAAGGAGUUCUACCCAGUGUAAGAGUCCAGGAUCUCCACAUAGUCCAAAAACACCACCCAAAAGCCCUGUCAUCCCCCGCCGCAGUCCCAGUGCCUCCCCAAGGAGCUCUUCCUUACCCCGUACUGCCAGUUCUUCUCCAUCACGGGCUGGGAGAACCCAUCAUGAUCAGAGGAGUUCCUCCCCACAUCUUGGGAGGAGUAAAUCACCUCCUAGCCAUUCAGGCUCCUCAUCUUCUAGGAGAUCCUGCCAACAAGAGCACUGCUACAGCAAACCAAGCAAGAAUGGUCUGAAAGGAUCUGGUAGUUCCUUCCACCAUUCUCCAAACACUAAGACUCCCACAGGAAAAAGCAAAUCAGCCACUAAGCUUAGCAGAUAGGAACUGGGCCUUGACAGGUAUAAAGCCGCCUCCUAAGUCUGAUGCAUGUUAUGUCUGUGUACUGUGUAUUUAAAAAAAUAAUCAAAAAAAAAUAUAAAAAAACAGUGUUGAAUCUGCGCUUUUUAAAGAACGUAAGCAUCAUAAACUAUUCAUGAGAAAGCAUACUGUGUAAAUGAGUGGCCAGGCAUUGCCUAGGAGCAGGCAGCAAGCAGGUCUAGGAAAGGGGAGGUAGAUGCCAGAAAAAGAAUGACUCGGUAGUCAAAGAGGUGCAAUGUAUUUAAAGUCAAAAAUAUCUCCAAGGUGAGUGUUUUUAAAAGGGUAUUUAUUUCUAUGUUUUCAGUUUACCUAGCUUAGAAGAUUAGGCCUAAUCAUUUAGGGCCUGUCUCAAGAAGUAUGUAAGAAAAAGUGAAACCCAUUAUUCCCAAAAUCAUGUCACCACUUGGGAGAUAAGUACUUCUCAAGCAUGCCUCUGUUGAUUUAAAAAAGCACACUGUUCAGAGGACAAUGGUAUUUCUACCUUAUGAGUCUCUUCAAUUUUGAGUUGCACACACCUGAGUCACUCAGUACUCAUUUUGUUCCCUGUCUACCAUACCACAGAUUUGCUUACCUAAAGAAGUAUCAUGUAACUUGCCCCUUCUUGAUUUUGAUGACAUUUUAAAAAUGAAUAUUAACGGUUGCCAAGAUGUUUUUGUAGUGGUAUUCUGUAGAAAUUUGUUUAGUACUAAUUAGGAUCCAAGAAGAAUUCUUGGUUCCAUUUUGUAUACUUCUUCAGGAGACAUAGGGGGUUCUUGAAACCUCAUUAUGUGGAAUAGAAAACCAUUCUCGUCUAGGAGAUGAGAGAAAGGAGAUGUCUGCAGUUCACCUAAUGUCACAGAUUUACAAUAAAUUGCAAUGCAUGAUAGAAAAGUUAGAAAACAGGAGUACCUGUUUUUCCCUAACUGAACUGUAAAAAGAAUCCUUUUUACUAUUGGCUUUUUAUUUAUUUUAUUUUAUUUUUUUAUUUUUUUUUUCCCAUUGGUGAUUUCCCAUCACUGAAAUCACUGAUCUUACAUUGAGGAAACAAUUACCAACCAAGAUUUUUUUUCGUGCUCGUUCUUUUUGUAAAAACAUGGAAGGUGAACACCUUGGUAGCUUCUAGCUGACAGAAAUACACUUAACACCCCUAACAAAGCCUUUGUAAGAGUAUUAAUCAGCAGAGCAAAAUAUACAGAAAGCAAUCAUAUUUUUGAUGUUGGGUUCUUGUCAUUCUUUUGCACAAAUGGUUCUUUGAUAACCAAGCUUUGCUGUCUGCCAGUGAAGUCCAUUGUGUCUAAUUCCUCCUACUUUUUUUUAGUAGUUACUUAAUAAUCUCUUGUGGUCUACUGGAUCUCUGUAAAAAACAUAACGGUUCAGCACCUUUUGCUAUAUUCAGAAGAGAAUAGUGGGUUAGAACAGUAACACACAAGAAUGCAAGCUUAAAGAAGGUGCAGCCAGCUCUCCCUGGUUAUACCUGUUGUGGGGAUGCUGGAUGUGCAGGAGACUUGUCAGUUGCUGAUCUGCUUGCUGUAGUCAUAUGCCUCUCCAGCCAGCAUCUGUGCUUUUUUAUUUAACCUCUGCCAAAGUAAUACCUUUGGAUUAGAAGGGAAUAUUUUGUCUCUGAGUUAACACAUUCUAAUGCUGCAUUAAAGCUGCCCUGGAGCUGCACUGAAUUUUACUUGCUCUGUCUGACUAUGUUGUUUUUUUUUUUCUUACUAUGAAUAUGUGUAUUGUUCAUCAUAUGUAAUGUAGCACAGUGUGGAACCUUAAUUUCAUUCAGGUUUCAAGCACUACAGAUGAAUGCAAUAGGUAGGGUAUACCUGCUUUUUCUGAAGAAACUGUACCAUUGGAAAGUCUUACUCCUUUGUAUUAUAUUGUAUAAUAGGCAUUAUAACAAUAAUUGCAUGUCCUCAUGGUAAAUUAUAUAAAUAUUUAUAUAUACAUAUAUGUAUAUGCUUAUAUAAACUCACUCUCAUUUUUCAUUUGUAAUUUAUGGACCACAAAUAAUACAGUUCCCUUUCUGUUAGUUCCUGAAUACUCCUGGCGUUGCAUCUCCUAUAUCCCCCCUAAAAAUUCUGGAAUGCACAAAAUCUAAUAGCCUUUAUACCUUGGUACAAGAUUGAAGGACUGCUGAUUUCUCAACCAGCCAAUAUUUUGUCUUGCAGCUUUCUUUCUUGCUUUAGAAUUGUGAGUACAUUUGCAUAUGAACAAGAACAGAGACUCAAAGAUGACUUGAUCUUUGACCCAACUCUUAUGUAAGGGAGCUGUAAUAGCAGCAGACCAGCUUGCUCCAAAAGAAUCAACCCAGAGACAAGCUGCAGUGUGUGUGUGAACGAUGUUAAUUUUCAAAUGCUUUCCUAUGAAUAUCCAAACCAGUAAAUUAAGGAAAUCACCAACGAUGCCUUCAGACAAGUACUGACUUCUUGAAGCUGUGAGCCAGUGUCCACUAAUCUAAAAUCUCUGGGCAAUACCAAAGAAUGAAAUUGGUAUGUUAACUAAAAAUACAAUGUUGUCACUCCAUAAUGAAUUACGCACUCAAUAACACAAUCUGCAGCACAAUUAAAUCAAGUAGAAAGUGGUUCCGAGGUUCUUUGUUCCUAUUGAGGAAGACAAGUGUUGAGUCCUUCAAAUUCUCUUGCUCAAUAAUUGCAGUUCCCUUUCCCCUUCUUGGGAAUCUUCUAAGCCAUUCUUUUUCUUUUAAGUUUGCUCAGGCACCCAAGAACAUAAAGAGUUGAUGCCCUUGUAAUGGUCAUUUGUACAUAAAGGUGUAAUUAUUUAUUUUCUCAUUUGUACCAUAUCAAGGCUUUGUACAAUGUUUUAAGUUUUGUUUUCAAAUUAUUUUGUAUUUUAUUUUUAUAAACUGGUUCUAAAUAAAAUAUUCAUUCAGCAUGCAAAACUUCAACCCUUGAGUGUGUUUGUAUGGUGAUUUUACUACUUAUAAAGUUGAAUUUACUUAUUUUUUUACUGCUGCACUGUAAACCCUGUACUUUAAACAGAGAAAAAGCUUUGAUUUUGAUUUUUUUUUCU